rfam:Mustela putorius furo unplaced genomic scaffold scaffold00029, whole genome shotgun sequence.
AGCUUUGCGCAGUGGCAGUAUCGUAGCCAAUGAGGUUUAUCCAAGGCGCGAUUAUUGCUAAUUGAAAAACUUAAAGGAAUUUCAAAUUCUUUAAGAUCCAGAAGGAAGUUGGAGCAUGUAUGUAUUUCUUGAUAGA